rnacentral:lncRNA from 1 species
UUUUUGACAACUCCUUAUUCACAAUCUUCCACAUUUACCCUUCCUGUCGGCUAUGAAUCCCAAAGCACGUCUGUUGCCCCCACAGGAUGUUGUUCUUUCUUGGCUUAUCUGAUGGCCUUGGCCUUGAGGUUUGUUCCUCCCUUACUUGUCAUGCUAACUUUCUUUUCAUUUGAAGAACCCCGUUUGUCUCUUGCCUAACCACUUCAUUUUCCAUUCAACACAUGCCUCUUCUCCAUUUAAACCCUAUACAUUCUGUCUGUUGCCCUGCCUCUGAACUGACUAUUACCAACCCUUGUGCCUCUCAUGAACCUUCAAAGCGUGCUGAUUGCUACCCACAGUCUGUCAUUCGUUUAAACUGAGCUCCCUGACCCCUGACCUUGAGGUCUAUUGCUCUUUUCGUUGUACCCUUAUCACAGAAAAUAUUUAUUCUUCGUUCUACCCAAUACCCUUUAUCUGCUGCACUGCUCAUGAAC